rfam:Hordeum vulgare subsp. vulgare, WGS project CAJW01000000 data, contig: morex_contig_63945
AUGCUACUCCCUCCGAUCCAUAUUACUUGUCUUAGAUUUGUCUUGAUACGUAUGUAUCUAGACACUUUUCUAUCUGUAUCUAGACAAAUCUUAGACAAGUAAUAUGGAUCGAAGGGAGUAAUUU